CUUGUACGCACCGCCCGUCACACCAUGGGAGCGGGAUGUGCCAGAAGUAGGUAGGCUAACCGCAAGGGGCCGCUUACCACGGUGCGUUUCGUGACUGGGGUG
rnacentral:rRNA from 1 species